rnacentral:rRNA from 1 species
AUUGAACGCUGGCGGCAGGCUUAACACAUGCAAGUCGAGCGGAGAGAGGUAGCUUGCUACUGAUCUUAGCGGCGGACGGGUGAGUAAUGCUCAGGAAUCUGCCUAUUAGUGGGGGACAACAUUUCGAAAGGAAUGCUAAUACCGCAUACAUCCUACGGGAGAAAGCAGGGGAUCUUCGGACCUUGCGCUAAUAGAUGAGCCUAAGUCGGAUUAGCUAGUUGGUGGGGUAAAGGCCUACCGAGGCGACGAUCUGUAGCGGGUCUGAGAGGAUGAUCCGCCACACUGGGACUGAGACACGGCCCAGACUCCUACGGGAGGCAGCAGUGGGGAAUAUUGGACAAUGGGCGCAAGCCUGAUCCAGCCAUGCCGCGUGUGUGAAGAAGGCCUUAUGGUUGUAAAGCACUUUAAGCGAGGAGGAGGCUACUUUAGUUAAUACCUAGAGAUAGUGGACGUUACUCGCAGAAUAAGCACCGGCUAACUCUGUGCCAGCCGCCGCAGUAAAAC